AUUGAACGCUGGCGGCAGGCCUAACACAUGCAAGUCGAGCGGAUGAAGGGAGCUUGCUCCUGGAUUCAGCGGCGGACGGGUGAGUAAUGCCUAGGAAUCUGCCUGGUAGUGGGGGAUAACGUCCGGAAACGGGCGCUAAUACCGCAUACGUCCUGAGGGAGAAAGUGGGGGAUCUUCGGACCUCACGCUAUCAGAUGAGCCUAGGUCGGAUUAGCUAGUUGGUGGGGUAAAGGCCUACCAAGGCGACGAUCCGUAACUGGCCUGAGAGGAUGAUCGGUCACACUGGAACUGAGACACGGUCCAGACUCCUACGGGAGGCAGCAGUGGGGAAUGUUGGACAAUGGGCGAAAGCCUGAUCCAGCCAUGCCGCGUGUGUGAAGAAGGUCUUCGGAUUGUAAAGCACUUUAAGUUGGGAGGAAGGGCAGUAAGUUAAUACCUUGCUGUUUUGACGUUACCGACAGAAUAAGCACCGGCUAACCUCGUG
rnacentral:rRNA from 1 species